CCUUUAGGUGUCCUCCUUGGGAUAGCGUCAUUUAAAGAACGAGGGUCAGCACAACGUAAAAAAAAAGGAAAAAAAACUGGAAGAGCCUGCCGAAGAUGAGGGCAUUACGGCUCGCCCUUAGGUGUCCUCCUCGAAAUAGCAUCAUUUAAAGAACGAGGGUCAGCACAACGUAG